rnacentral:lncRNA from 1 species
GUUUUAAACCCUAAACUGAACUUUUUUCCAUUCAGUCAGCAUUAGGGUUUUAAACCCUAAACUGAACUCUUCCCUUUAGUCAGCGUUAGGGUUUUAAACCCUAAACUGAACUUCCCCUUUUAGUCAGCAUCAGGGUUUUUAAACCUUAAACUGAACUUUUCCCUUUAGUCAUCGUUAGGGUUUUAAACCCUAAAUUGAACUUUUCCUUUUAGUCAGCAGUAGGGUUUUUAAACCCUAAACUGAACUUUUUCCUUUAGUCAGCAUUAGGGUUUUUAAACCCUAAACUGAACUUCUGUCCAUUCAGUCAGCAUUAGGGCCCCAACCCUAAACUGAACUUUUCCCAGUUGGUCAGCAUUAGAGUUUCAACUCUAAACUGAGCUUCUCCCCAGCUAGUCGGCAUUAGGGCUCCAACCCUGAACUGAACUAUUUCCAUCCCGCCUGCCUUAGGGCUCUAACCCUAAACUGAGCAUUCAUAUCUUGAGGCCGUACAGUUGAUCCAAUCCCGUAAUUGGCAUUUUGGAAAUUGAAAUUUUCCAAUU